AACGCAUAUUGCGCUCUUUGGUAUUCCGAAGAGCAUGCUUGUUUGAGUAUCAGUAAACACCUCAAAGCUUUUGGAUUUUUUUUUUUUGAAAGCUUUGGACUUGAGCAAUCCCAACACCAAUCUUUUUCAGAUCGGCGGCGGGUUGCUUGAAAUGCAGGUGCAGCUGGACUUUCUCCUGAGCUAAAAGCAUAUUCAUUUAGUCCCGUCAAACGGAUUAUUACUUUUGCUGCAGCUAACAUAAAGGGAGUUUGACCGCAUUGGCUGACUGAUGCAGGAUUUCACAAGGGUCGGCAACGAUUCUUGUUAAACUCGAUCUCAAAUCAAGUAAGACUACCCGCUGAACUUAA
rnacentral:misc_RNA from 1 species